rnacentral:lncRNA from 1 species
CCCGUUGUGAUCCAUCCUCAUCUAAGCUCAUCCCCUGCAUCCACGUCAACAGGAAUCCCGGCGAUUCGGCUGCCCACGUCUUCCGAAGCCCCUGCCAAGUCCUCUCUGCAGCAUGAAGUUUUGCACCUCCCACGGAUUGCAUCUCAUCCUCCCGAGCUUCACGGAUUGUUCUCCCAUCCGGAUCAGAGCCAGCAGCAUAUCAAGGAUUCGGCCUUAUCCCGCAGCUAUUGAUCCUUAUCUACAGGGAGGUGGGCUAUCUAUUUAAAGGGUCGGACGUGAAGACCAAGGUAUCGCUUCUCGGAGGCUGAAAUCCCAGUGCAUGAGUGAGAGAGUAGUUUGGUUAUUUUGGGA